AACCGUACUCAGUAGCAGAGGCAAACACGUUUCGAGAGAAUGCAACGCGCUAACUGCUACCAAGCUAAGUACCAAGCAGAGUCAUAAAAACAGGAGACCCUGACGCAUCAACAAAUAUUGACGACGAGCUCGUAAGCAUACGGCGUCUACUGCAGCCGCUGUUUGUUUGGGGUAGAAAUGAAAAGUUGGAGGACAACCAAUCGGGAGGAAUCGGCGGUGCUGCCGGUGGUAGCAGUAGCUUCACGAACUCCGCAAGACCGAGCAUCGCUGGCCGGUGUCGAGCGGUGGCCAGCGCAGCCGGCGAGAAUGAUGGACGGCUCGUCCAUCACGGAGGCAGGGCCUCGUCCGCCAAACAAGAUUAAUAGAGGUCCGCCGCUGUCAGCCGGACGUCUCUCCGGCCGACCGGGAGAGAUUGGCCAGCUACGGCCAGUCUUCUCGCAGAUCGCAAGCCGCGUGGGCAGCAGCAAGCCGACCGAUCGCGAUCGAUCUUCCUGAACACUUUGACAGCCACCGUUAUCCGGCUACUGUACUUCAACUCGCGCGUUUAAUACACAUCGACGUGGAUCACCGCGGAUCUCCCGUCCUCUGGCCAUCUAAACGCGCGCGGACGCGCGAUCGUGAGAGAUCGGGGGACUAUUUGUACCGGGUAUCUUGCGAUCUUGGACAAUCCGACGGUCGUUGUAGUCGAUUUUACAUGCCGUCCGCGCCGUAAGGGUCCGCACUCGCGCGAUAACGCGACGCAUAAUUAUACACGCUUGAAUAUAUACUACAGGAUACGGGCGUUUAUCCGUUUUAUCGUCCGCUCGAGUUUAUCGAUGCGCAUACAAAGCACGAAGGGAUGGUGGGCCGUUCUUGUCGGCUUCGCCGUAGUUUGCGUGGCUAAUUUGCGAUUAGUUUUCUGUGAAACGGACUCAGGAAGCGAGGGGAAAAUGUACUCGGAAGAACCGCGACAACAUUCGUGCUGCGCUCGACAUGAAAAGAUGAUUGACGUCGGAUACGGUGAGUAUACAAAAGACUGAUUGCUAUUUUUGAACCAAUUUUAGAUAUUAAUUAUCCUAAUCUUUUUAAGCUCAAGUAUUGACCUACUAUAUGUCAAAGAAUGAAA
rnacentral:lncRNA from 1 species